rnacentral:rRNA from 1 species
GACGAACGCUGGCGGCGGGCCUAACACAUGCAAGUCGAGCGGAAAGGCCCUGCUUUUGUGGGGAGCUCGAGUGGAGAACGGGGGAGUUACACGUGAGUACCCUGCCCUUUACGGUGGGAUAACUUCAGGAAACUGGGGCUAAUACCGGGUAGGAGCUCCUGCUGCAUGGUGGGGGUUGGAAAGUUUCGGCGGUUGGGGCUGGACUCGCGGCUUAUCAGCUUGUUGGUUGGGUAGUGGCUUACCAAGGCUUUGACGGGUAGCCGACCUGAGAAGGUGACCGGCCAAACUAGGCCUGGGAUGCGGCCCAGACUCGAACGGGAGGCAAGGGUGGGGAGGGUUGUCCAAGGGGAGGGGGCCUGAUGUGGUAACGCCGCGUGGGGGAAGACGGCCAUGGGGUUGUGAACCGCUUUCGCCUGAGACGAGGCGAUAGUGACGGUACCGGGUAAAGAAGCACCGGCUAACUACGUG